rnacentral:rRNA from 1 species
GAUUAAGCCAUGCAUGUGUAAGUAUAAAUAGUUAACUUUGAAACUGCGAAUGGCUCAUUAUAUCAGUUAUAGUUUAUUUGAUGAAGAAUACUAAUUGGAUAACCGUAGUAAUUCUAGAGCUAAUACAUGUAUAAAGUCUUGUAGACUGCAUUUAUUAGAAUGAAAACCAUAGGUUUCGGCCUAUUCGUGAGUAAUAAUAACUAAUCAUAUCGUAUGCUUAUGUAACGAUGUGUCUUUCAAGUUCUGCCCUAUCAGCUUUCGAUGGUAGUGUAUUGGACUACCAUG